ACCAACAGAUGGCAAUUUGGAGACCCGUAGAUCUGUACGGCUUGUCAAGAAGAAGACCAAGGGCGUCAACAGCCUAUACCCCGCUGCUUAGAAAUCUGCUGGCAAGUCUCUUCUUUCUAGUGUUUUAUGAUUCAUGAUAAUUGCUUAGAAAAUUUUAGUUACUUGGAGCUGCUAGUUUCUUAGAUGUAUAAACUUUCUAUCCAUGCCUAGCCUUCGUUGUCAUGUUAAGCAAUGUAUUUAUGUUAUCCUGAAAUGUUACCACUUGACUAUUGUUGCAUUAGACACCUCCCUGUUAGUCCAUUUUAUUUCAUUAUGCACAAAGUGGAAGAAGAAAAUUCUGAUGUUGAACUACAUCCAUCCUGAUCCUUUCUUUGUUUUCUCUAUAUGAACUAGAAAUGCCACAUGAAGAACUAAGGAUAUCAAGAAGCUUUUGGAUGUAUGCAAGCUUGGAGCUGUUGUUUUAUAGGUAUAUUAACCACUGUAUUUGUCCUGCAAUAUGUUUGAGCUUAUGCAUGAAUUUUGAUUCACAUUUUUCACCGUGGAUUUUCCUUUUGUAUGACAAUUGACAAAUGGCUAGUCCAAGCCAACAGUGGGCUGUUUGUGUCUAUGUUGCUUUCUUUGUAUCCUUAGAGUUUUGUUGUGCUGGAGUAAAAACUGUAAACUAUAAUUCAUCAUUCUAGUAUAUGGAGGCAUUUUACCUUUGCUCCUGAAGCUUUUUGGUGAAUAUAAAACUACAUUGCUGUAGUAGAUUUGUUAUUUGAUUCAUGAGCAUGCAUAAAUUUGACUAUUGUUCUACUAGCGACUUGUCCUGUUAGUCCAUUUUAUUUUUAAUGCACAAAGUGGCAGAAAAUAAUUCCGAUGCAGAACUACCUCCAUCCUGACCCUUCCUCUAUUUUCUCUAAACCAGAAAUGGCACUUGAAGAAUAACCAAGGGUAUCAAGAAGCUUUUGGAUGUAGGCAAGCUUGGAGCUGCUGUUUCAAUGUCAUGCUUUGAUAGUUGUCUUUUGGAGCUGUUGUUUCUAUGUGUAAUACUUUAAGUCUGUUGGCUGUACCGGACUAUUUA
rnacentral:lncRNA from 1 species